UUAUAUUAAGUGUAGAAUGCACGGAGAAUUUUGAUUUCUUAAGAUUUAGUUUAAAUCUAAAAAUAUAAA
rnacentral:tRNA from 1 species